UCCAUAUAGAUCUAUACACUACACAGAAAACUUUAGUACUUACUGCCAUAGAUAAAUUUUCAAAAUACGCACAGAUAAAAAUAGUAAAAUCAAGAGCUGCCGAAGAUCUAAAAACGCCCCUACGGGAGGUAAUGAUGGCAUUUGGCAUGCCAAAGUUAGUCGUCAUGGACAACGAAAAGGCUCUAAACGCAUCGUCAAUCAAGUUCUUAUUAAAAGAACAACUUAAAGUAGAAGUCUUCACGACCCCACCGUAUGCUUCCACAAGUAACGGUCAAAUAGAAAGAUUUCAUUCAACUAUGACCGAAAUCUUGAGGUGUCUUAAACGAGACGAGUCGACAGCCACUUUUGAGGACUUGAUCUUUAAAACAAAAUAUUUUUUGGCAAUCAAUUUAAUUCAAACCCAAUAGAACUCGAACGCUUAAGAAAUCAGAUUAGUAAUAACAUCAGCAAAAAACAGGAAGAGGAUAUAUCUUAUCACAAUCAGAAACGAAACCCUAUAAGAAAAUAUGAAAAAGGCGAAACCAUUUUUAUUAAAAUUGACAAAAGACUAGGGUCCAAAAUAACCCCUAGAUAUCGAAAAGA